CUACUCUUGACAUCCAGAGAACUUUCCAGAGAUGGAUUGGUGCCUUCGGGAACUCUGAGACAGGUGCUGCAUGGCUGUCGUCAGCUCGUGUUGUGAAAUGUUGGGUUAAGUCCCGCAACGAGCGCAACCCUUAUCCUUUGUUGCCAGCGGUUCGGCCGGGAACUCAAAGGAGACUGCCAGUGAUAAACUGGAGGAAGGUGGGGAUGACGUCAAGUCAUCAUGGCCCUUACGAGUAGGGCUACACACGUGCUACAAUGGCAUAUACAAAGAGAAGCGACCUCGCGAGAGCAAGCGGACCUCAUAAAGUAUGUCGUAGUCCGGAUUGGAGUCUGCAACUCGACUCCAUGAAGUCGGAAUCGCUAGUAAUCGUAGAUCAGAAUGCUACGGUGAAUACGUUCCCGGGCCUUGUACACACCGCCCGUCACACCAUGGGAGUGGGUUGCAAAAGAAGUAGGUAGCUUAACCUUCGGGAGGGCGCUUACCACUUUGUGAUUCAUGACUGGGGUGAAGUCGUAACAAGGUAACCAAGGGCGAAUUCUG
rnacentral:rRNA from 1 species